UGAACGCUGGCGGCGUGCCUAAUACAUGCAAGUCGAGCGAACAGACGAGGAGCUUGCUCCUCUGACGUUAGCGGCGGACGGGUGAGUAACACGUGGAUAACCUACCUAUAAGACUGGGAUAACUUCGGGAAACCGGAGCUAAUACCGGAUAAUAUAUUGAACCGCAUGGUUCAAUAGUGAAAGACGGUUUUGCUGUCACUUAUAGAUGGAUCCGCGCCGCAUUAGCUAGUUGGUAAGGUAACGGCUUACCAAGGCAACGAUGCGUAGCCGACCUGAGAGGGUGAUCGGCCACACUGGAACUGAGACACGGUCCAGACUCCUACGGGAGGCAGCAGUAGGGAAUCUUCCGCAAUGGGCGAAAGCCUGACGGAGCAACGCCGCGUGAGUGAUGAAGGUCUUCGGAUCGUAAAACUCUGUUAUUAGGGAAGAACAAAUGUGUAAGUAACUAUGCACGUCUUGACGGUACCUAAUCAGAAAGCCACGGCUAACUACGUGCCAGCAGCCGCGGUAAUACGUAGGUGGCAAGCGUUAUCCGGAAUUAUUGGGCGUAAAGCGCGCGUAGGCGGUUUUUUAAGUCUGAUGUGAAAGCCCACGGCUCAACCGUGGAGGGUCAUUGGAAACUGGAAAACUUGAGUGCAGAAGAGGAAAGUGGAAUUCCAUGUGUAGCGGUGAAAUGCGCAGAGAUAUGGAGGAACACCAGUGGCGAAGGCGACUUUCUGGUCUGUAACUGACGCUGAUGUGCGAAAGCGUGGGGAUCAAACAGGAUUAGAUACCCUGGUAGUCCACGCCGUAAACGAUGAGUGCUAAGUGUUAGGGGGUUUCCGCCCCUUAGUGCUGCAGCUAACGCAUUAAGCACUCCGCCUGGGGAGUACGACCGCAAGGUUGAAACUCAAAGGAAUUGACGGGGACCCGCACAAG
rnacentral:rRNA from 1 species